rnacentral:lncRNA from 1 species
CAAGUCCAGGUUCCCUUAUCUGCACAUAACAUCUGGUGUAAACACUUGUGGGGCUGGUUGGAGAUUCUCCGGGGACCCUUCCGUAUCUGCCUAGGCAUUUUGCUGUCUCCUCCUAAUACGGAACAAGCACAAUAUAAAAAACAAUUAGAGCAGUUAAACAAGGAUAUAAUACAGCUUCACUAAAUAAGAAGGAACUCACACUUAAAGAUGUGGAAUGUAAAUUCUACAAAAUGAAAACUGCUUAUGAAGAGGUUACAACUGAGUUAGAAGAAUAUAAGGAAGGCUUUGCAGCAGCAUUGAAAGCUAACAGUUCCAUGUCAAAAAAAUUAACUAAAUCGAAUAAGAAAAUAGCAAUGAUCAGUAUCAGCUCUUUAUGGAGAAAGAGCAGGUGAAAUAUUUUCUCAGCACUCUUCCUACAAGGCGAGGUCGAGAGUCACCUUGUGUUGAAAAUCUUACUAGUAUAGGACUCAACAGAAAAUAUAUUCCCCAAAUGCCCGUAAGAAUUCCUACUUCAAACCUCAGACUUCAAAUAACUGCCAGAACUACUUGACUGAUGUUAGUUAUAUGACCGUUUCUCUUUAGGGUUUCAUUUGUCUAGCGUAAUUCUUGUUUAUAAUUUGGUGAAACACUGAGUUGUUCUGUUGACUUUUGCAUGUGAAGUAAAGAUCAUAAUUAGCUGUGUUAACACAGAAAGGAAAUGGGAACUUUACAUUUUUUAAUUCCCUGGAGCUCUCAUUUUCAAGAGAUAUCCAUUUGCUAACUUUAUUCAAUAAAUGUG